ACGGAAGGCAGCAGUGAGGAAUAUUGGUCAAUGGGCGAGAGCCUGAACCAGCCAUGUCGCGUGGAGGAAUAAGGAUCUAUGGUUCGUAAACUCCUUUUGCGGGGGGAUAAAGUGCGGGACGCGUCCCGUUUUGUAGGUACCCCGCGAAUAAGCAUCGGCUAACUCCGUGCCAGCAGCCGCGGUAAUACGGAGGAUGCGAGCGUUAUCCGGAUUUAUUGGGUUUAAAGGGUGCGCAGGCGGAUCGGUAAGUCAGGGGUGAAAAGUUGGGGCUCAACUCCAAUCGUGCCUUUGAUACUGCCGGACUAGAGUGCGAUAGACGUGGCCGGAAUGUGAUGUGUAGCGGUGAAAUGCUUAGAUAUGUCACAGAACACCGAUCGAGAAGUCAGGUCACGAGCUCGCAACUGACGCUCAGGCACGAAAGCGUGGGGAUCAAACAGGAUUAGAUACCCUGGUA
rnacentral:rRNA from 1 species